GCCUGAACAGCAUGCAUUUUAUUCCCACGACUUUUGGCCCACGACCUUCUAGAAUUUCCCCUUGGGCCUUCCUGGGGUGCGUUCCCAGAUGACGUCCGAUUGUUUGCCUUCGUGCGUUUCACCACCGGGGAUGCCAUGAGCAAGAGGUCCAAGUUUGCCCUCAUCACCUGGAUUGGCGAGAACGUCAGCGGGCUGCAGCGCGCCAAGACGGGCACCGACAAGACCCUGGUGAAGGAAGUGGUGCAGAAUUUCGCCAAAGAGUUUGUGAUCAGUGAUCGGAAGGAGCUGGAGGAAGAUUUUAUCAAGAGCGAGCUCAAGAAGGCCGGGGGUGCCAAUUAUGACGCCCAGACGGAGUAACCCCCGCACCCCGCGCCUUGCCAAAGUCAUCUGCCUGCUCCCCGGGGGAGGGGACCGCGGCCUCAGCUACCAGCCCAUCAGCCCACCAGGGAGAGGAGACGCGAUGAGAGGCAACGCCCGCCACCCCGUCCGCAACCCAGCUCCCCUCCCCGCUUCCCCUUGUGCACCUGCUGUGUCCCGUCCCAUGAAGCUCAUGGAACAUCUUUCUUUGCUUUUUUUUCUUUUCUCCCCCUGACCCCUUUCUUGUUCUAAACAAAAAUCAUUUGGAUGCCAAGGUCACGCACAUCACCAGAUCGGAGGUGCCUCCUGCGGUGACCCUCUCCUGGCAUUUCUUAACGCACAGGCAGCCUGCCCGGCCUGACCCAUCAACCUCGCGUCGCUUCUGGCGCCUGGGCCAGUGUCGCUCUCUUGUUUUCUUUUUUUUUGGCGCCCGCCUGCUUCCCACGGAGGAGGCAGCCACGUGGGGAGCCCGUCCUCAUCGUGCCCUUGUCGAGCCCCGCUGGCCAGGCUCACACCUCCAGGAGUCCCUCCGGAGGCCCCCCCACCCCCCACCUCCAUUCCAAGUUGCCUAAGCUCCAUGUCCAUCAGAGACGGUGCUCGGUGGAGAGAUGGGCAGCCCUGACUCAGACCGAAGGAGGAGAGAGGAAAAUCUGCCACCCGUCAGAAGCGGCCCGUUCCCCAGCCUUGGGAUGGCGCUCUCGGGAUGGCGGGGGGUGGGGGCAGAGGUCUGAGUCCAGAUUCGACGGGAGGUGCUCAGGGCUCACAUCCUCGGGCUCCCCAAGUGACGAGGACAUUAGGGGUGCAGAAUGGGCAUUUAGGUCAAAGCGGUCCUCUGCACGACAGCACAGACAGCAGGGGACAGAGGCUCCCUGCUCCGUCACGGUCACCACAGCUGUGUGUGCAGCGCCCCCCCCCACUGGGGGGGGGAACCAGAAAGUCUAUGGUUUUAAUCCUCGGUGGCACCUCACACAAAAAGGAUUUUUUUUUUUUUCAAAGAAAGAUGAGGUUGGCUUGGUUCUUCAUGCCCAUGUUAGGUAGGGCUCUUUUUCUCUUUUCCUUGCUCGUUUCGUCGGGGGACGUCUGUGCUGUGCUGGGGUGGUGAAGGCAUCUGCACUCAAAACGGUUUACAGAAAUAAAUUUUUGUUUUGUUUUGUUUUUCAAAAAA
rnacentral:lncRNA from 1 species